AGAGUCUGAUCCAGCAUUCUGUGUGCACGAUGAAGUUUUUCGGAAUGUAAAGUGCUUUCAGUUGGGAAGAAAGAAAUGACGGUACCAACAGAAGAAGUGACGGCUAAAUACGUGCCAGCAGCCGCGGUAAUACGUAUGUCACGAGCGUUAUCCGGAUUUAUUGGGCGUAAAGCGCGUCUAGGUGGUUAUAUAAGUCUGAUGUGAAAAUGCAGGGCUCAACUCUGUAUUGCGUUGGAAACUGUAUAACUAGAGUACUGGAGAGGUAAGCGGAACUACAAGUGUAGAGGUGAAAUUCGUAGAUAUUUGUAGGAAUGCCGAUGGGGAAGCCAGCUUACUGGACAGAUACUGACGCUGAAGCGCGAAAGCGUGGGUAGCAAACAGGAUUAGAUACCCUGGUAGUCCACGCCGUAAACGAUGAUUACUAGGUGUUGGGGGUCGAACCUCAGCGCCCAAGCAAACGCGAUAAGUAAUCCGCCUGGGGAGUACGUACGCAAGUAUGAAACUCAAAGAAAUUG
rnacentral:rRNA from 1 species